rnacentral:rRNA from 1 species
CCCUUAGAUGUUCUGGGCCGCACGCGCGCUACACUGACGAAUGCAACGAGCUUAUAACCUUGGCCAAAAGGUCUGGGUAAUCUCCAAAUUUCGUCGUGAUGGGGAUAGAUUAUUGCAAUUAUUAAUCUUCAACGAGGAAUGCCUAGUAAGCGCAAGUCAUCAGCUUGCGUUGAUUACGUCCCUGCCCUUUGUAUACACCGCCCGUCGCUCCUACCGAUUGAAUGGUCCGGUGAAGCGCUCGGACCGCGGCCUCUUGACGGUUUUCCGUCGAUUGGCUGUGGGAAGUUCGUUAAACCUUAUCAUUUAGAGGAAGGAGAANUCGUANCA